rnacentral:rRNA from 1 species
CAUGGAGGGUGAGAAUCCCGUUCGGUUAAUCAUUGCGUUUUACGAUACGCUUUCUAAGAGUCAAGUUGUUUGGGAUUGCAGCUUAAAAUGGGAGGUAAAUUUCUCCUAAGGCUAAAUAACGGCGAGAGACCGAUAGUGAACAAGUACCGUGAGGGAAAGAUGAAAAGAACUUUGAAAAGAGAGUUAAACAGUACGUGAAAUUGUUGAAAGGGAAACGAUUGAAGCCAGUCGUACCUUCGGGUAAUCAGCCUUUUGGGUGUGAUUUUGUGGAGUGUGAAGAGUUAAACGCCUUCAUGCCUGCAUAUUCGUGCACUUUGGGUGUACUUGCUCGUGUGGUAAGUUAACAUCAAUUUUGGUUAUCAUAAAAUGAUUGGAGGAAUGUAGCUUCGAUCUCGUAUUGAAGUGUUAUAGCCUUCGGUAGAUGUGAUGAUCGGGAUUGAGGAUUGCAACGGAUACCCUUCGGGGCUACCUGUCUGGUCUCUGAUUGUUGCUCUGGUGCUGAAAGCUUGCUUAUAGCUAUCAAAGUCGACGGUCAAUAGGUUAGAAUGGGUUAAAUUCGUUAAGGAUGUUGACGUAAUGG